rnacentral:lncRNA from 10 species
UGAAUUAAGAUUCUCAGACACUCACUUUUCACCUCCAGUGAAGCUCUAAUUGGUACCAAGCUGAAGACAAGCAGCAGGACCUUCGUCGAAAGUGUUUUGUUUCCCUCAAAUCUCUGUUGUUCAGAUUCCUCGUCACAGCGUUUUUGUAGCACUUGGUUAUUGUAGUCACUGUAGAUCCUAUGAUCAAGAAAUAGAAAAACUGUCCUAGGAAAACUAUACUUUAAAUUGACAUAAAGAGAAAAAUUAGCCUCAACGUUCCCUCAUCUCAAGUAAAAAACAAGAAGCUGGAAUUGAGUGUUCCAGAGGAUUUUAUCUUUUUUAUUGUUUUUUUUUCUUUAUAUAUUCCUAACUUCUGUAACAAUAAAAUAGCUUUGUCAUGGCAAUAUAUUGUUAUAUCUCCUAUAACAAUACAUGAAAGCAUAAUUUAAUGAAAUAACAAUUUUAAAGCCUGAAGCAACUGCAAAUGCUUAACAUAGGAGGAAGAUGGGAGAGGAGGUAGCUAAUUUCUUAAGUUGAAUCAAAACCGUGCUAUGGGCUGGGUGCUGCGGCUCACACCUGUAAUCCCAGCACUUUGGGAAGCCAAGGCGAGUGGAUCACGUGAGGCCAGGAGCUUGAGACCAGCCUCGCCAACAUGGUGAAAGCCAGUCUCUACUAAAAAUACAAAAAAUUAGCCGGGGGUGGUAGUGCACACCUGUAAUCCCAGCUACUCGGGAGACUAAGCCUGGAGAAUCGCUUGAACCCAGGAGGUAGAGGUUGCAGUGAGCUGAGAUCAUGCCACUGCACUCCAGCCUGGG